UAUGGUGGCCUGAUACAGUGUUUUGCUGUACACCCAUCCAUUCUGGCACCCUGUGGUCUCAUUCAGCCCGUUCUCUCUGAUUGUACUGAUGUUCCAGUCCACAGGUUUGAACAUCCGACACCUGCUGAAGGUCCCAUCCUCCUCCCUGGGCAGAGUCAGGUUCAGCUGCUCCUGUGCGGUCAGGUUAGGAUCAGCACCCAGGAUCCAGUCUGUGUUACAGUGUCGCUCUGGAUCUGAUUGGAUAAAAAAUACACUGGCAAAGUGAAAAGGAAGCUCUUUUCUGGUGGUCUCAGGGAGCAGGAAGACGAGACCUCCGCUGACCACAGCCAAGCUGCUGAAGACUAUGAUGGGUAUGGACCAGUGGUAUACAGCCAACAUGUUGAGCAGUGGAGAGAGCAGACCUGCUACUCUAAAGGCGAUGGAGCCAAAACCAACAGCUGUUUGCCUGAGACGGUUUUUGAUCAGGAACAGCAUAAACCAGACCUGCCAAGGCGCACUGUCCAAGACCGGCGAACAUCUGGCUCAAACAGGACGCAAUGGACCUUUUGGAGACACCAAUCCACUCUGUACCUACAAACAGAAUUUAAACACAACAUCACCGCAGAGGUCAAAGGAAAAAGGUCAAUUUAAUGUUGCUCGUCUGUGGUAAAUAAACCCAGAGGCUUGCUCUUGACAGCAAUGGACCACAACUUGAACCACACUAUACUGUAUAUUUGUUCAUGCCUGUGGUGCCAGCCAUAAAAAUGAAAGGAUCCUUGCUGAGGUUCAGUAAGGUUGAU